AUGAACGCUGGCGGCGUGCCUAAUACCUGCAAGUCGAGCGCACGGACGAGAAGCUUGUUUCUCUGAUGUUAGCGGCGGACGGGUGAGUAACACGUGGAUAACCUACCUAUAAGACUGGGAUAACUUCGGGAAACCGGAGCUAAUACCGGAUAAUAUUUUGAACCGCAUGGUUCAAAAGUGAAAGACGGUCUUGCUGUCACUUAUAGAUGGAUCCGCGCUGCAUUAGCUAGUUGGUAAGGUAACGGCUUACCAAGGCAACGAUGCAUAGCCGACCUGAGAGGGUGAUCGGCCACACUGGAACUGAGACACGGUCCAGACUCCUACGGGAGGCAGCAGUAGGGAAUCUUCCGCAAUGGGCGAAAGCCUGACGGAGCAACGCCACGUGAGUGAUGAAGGUCUUCGGAUCGUAAAACUCUGUUAUUAGGGAAGAACAUAUGUGUAAGUAACUGUGCACAUCUUGACGGUACCUAAUCAGAAAGCCACGGCUAACUACGUG
rnacentral:rRNA from 1 species